GAGCGGAGCGGAGAGUCGACGGGGCGGGGCGGGGGGGCGGGACCCUGACGCGAUGGAGGCGGGGCCAGGAGGCUAUGGGGGCGGGGCCAGGAGAAAGUGAGGCGCGACCCAGAGGAAAUGGGGUCAGAGCUCAGAACAGUGCACGAGAGAGGGACACAGCCCGGAGGUGAGAGUGGGGUCCGGAGGGGGCAGUUUCGGGACACCAAGGAUCAGAGGAGUGGAACCCAAAGGGUUAAAGGGACGGGGCCUGAGUAAGUUCCGGGCAGAAUCCAGAGGGAAGGGAUGAGAAACUCGGCCGGGCCGGGAGCGGAGGCAAAAAGGAACUUUAGCCAGACGCAGAGGGGUUGCGGAGUGGCGAAACCCCGACGGGCAGGGGCGGGGCCCGAGCUCACUCUUUUGGCAGGCGGGCGGCGCUGCGCUCCAGGACAGGUCCCAUUGGCAGGUGAGAAUGUCGGAGCCGAGCAGCUCAUAGCCAGGCUCACACUGGUAGGUGGGGACCUCUGAGCCAAGACCCAGACCCUCACCGGUCAUUGUCCUCAUCCAGUGAGACCCUCUCGAAGUGCAGGUGAAGCCGGCGUCCCUCAGCUGCUUCGAUGACCCACCGGCAGGCUCACCCCAGAGCAUGGGACCUUCUCCAAGGCCACCAUCCAGGUAGGGAACCAGCCCCCCCAGCAUGGACCCUCCUUAAGACAGAAAGCCUGCUGAUAUGAACACUCCCCAGUGAGAACUGAAUGAUCUCUCCUUUUGUGCUGCUAAGAAGCUCAGAACCAGAUCAAGGCUUGUUCCGAGCAACAGUGGCUUGUCCAUCCAUAUUCUAUUUUUGUCAUCUUUAAUAAGCACUUCCUGGUACCCAUUGUCUUCUUAUUUUAUUUAAUUUUGC